rnacentral:lncRNA from 1 species
CCCAUCAUGACUGAAAGUGAGUAUGUAAAGUAUAUAAACCCUAUGUUUUUUGAUCCAAGCACAUCAGUUUUCAUUUUGAGCUUCAGUCAUCAUCAUCACAUUUAAAUCAUAAAUCAUGAAAAUCUUGCUCGUUGCUGCUUUCCUCAUUGCUGGAGCUAUGUCCGCCCCAUUGGAAGAUACUCCUGAGGUCAAGGAAGCCAAAACCGCCUUCCAAGCUGCAUAUGAUGAAGCCACUGCGGAGAACAUGCUAAAUUAGCCCCUGUUCCAGUUGUGAAUUCCUAUUUGGCAGACUCCAAGGAUGUUGCAGAAGCCAAAAAGGAAUUCAUAAGCCUCUACAAGAACGCCGAGGCCGUUUCCAAAGCUGCCGAGCGCCCAUUUGUCCCCAUUGCCUAUCCUUAUUAUUCUGUUGGUCCCUCAUUCAAGGGCUUUGCUUACUCUAGUAUGAGUCCUUCUCACGCUCCUCUUUACUACUCUGCUGCUCCUUUUGCAGCCCCUACUUUCAACAGAUACUUCCACUAUCCCUCUCCAUAUCAGACAUACUACACCUUACCCUAUGGAAACUCCUUUGUUCAGCCCAUGAACAGUGUUGAGGAACCUGCUGUUCAAGAAGAGUAGAGUUAUAAAUAAUGGACGAGUUAAAAAGAAAA